rnacentral:rRNA from 1 species
GUCGAGAGGCUUCGGCAAUGGGGGAAACCCUGACCGAGCGACGCCGCGUGAGGGAUGAAGCCCUUCGGGGUGUAAACCUCUUUUGCAAGGGAAGAACACUAUGGGGUCCAAUAGGCCCUGUAACUGACGGUACCUUGGGAAUAAGCUCCGGCUAACUCCGUGCCAGCAGCCGCGGUAACACGGGGGGAGCAAACGUUGUUCGGAAUUACUGGGCGUAAAGGGCGCGUAGGCGGCUUUGCAAGUGGUGUGUGAAAUGCCCUGGCUCAACCAGGGAACUGCGCACCAAACUGCAAGGCUUGAGGGCAGUAGAGGAAGCUGGAAUUCCUGGUGUAGCGGUGAAAUGCGUAGAUAUCAGGAGGAACACCGUUGGCGAAGGCGAGCUUCUGGGCUGUCCCUGACGCUGAGGCGCGAAAGCUGGGGGAGCAAACAGG